GCCCUGUUAGCUCAUUUGGUAGAGCAUUGGACUUUUAAUUCAAUGGUUGUGAGUUCAAAUCCCACAUAGGGCG
rnacentral:tRNA from 1 species